UAUGACUCAUAUAACCCAUUCUAUUUCUAAUUUGGGUAAAUAUAAUAAUUACUAUAAACAUAGUUUGAUUUCAUUAAUAGUUUCCUUAUCGUAUGAUUAUACAAACAUUUCAGAUUCGGAAGAUAUUAUUUAUAAUCACGUCCACGUGAUAGAGUAAAAAAAUUACUUGUUCACAUACAUUUGGAUCACGGAUGAUGAAAGUAUGAUAGUAACAUAGUGUUAUAGCUGUUAUUAACUUACAAUAUCUGGUCGCAUGAACAUAAUCAUUGAAUUGUAUAUUCGUAAAUGUUCAUAGAAAAUACCUUCUGAAGAUAAUGAUUUACUAUGAAAUACAAUGGGUUUAGUGUACAGAUGGCACUAGUUCCAGUGGCCUGUGAAAAGGCCCCAUGUUACGAUUGUUUACUCGAUCGUUUCAUGUGUCGCUAAAAUAGCUCGUUAACAUUCUUAGUAAAUCUAAAUUCGGUUAUCCGAUGACUUCAACGUGGUGAAUUAAAUACAGUCUAUUCAAAACAUAUCAUAGUGGAUCAAAAUAUUUGGAAAAAUUAAAAAAACUACAACUAUAAAUUACAGAAAAAAAAAAUGCAAACAAAAGAAAAUU